rnacentral:rRNA from 1 species
AGUGAACGCUGGCGGUAGGCCUAACACAUGCAAGUCGAACGGCAGCACAGUAAGAGCUUGCUCUUACGGGUGGCGAGUGGCGGACGGGUGAGGAAUACAUCGGAAUCUACUUUUUCGUGGGGGAUAACGUAGGGAAACUUACGCUAAUACCGCAUACGACCUACGGGUGAAAGCAGGGGAUCUUCGGACCUUGCGCGAUUGAAUGAGCCGAUGUCGGAUUAGCUAGUUGGCGGGGUAAAGGCCCACCAAGGCGACGAUCCGUAGCUGGUCUGAGAGGAUGAUCAGCCACACUGGAACUGAGACACGGUCCAGACUCCUACGGGAGGCAGCAGUGGGGAAUAUUGGACAAUGGGGGCAAGCAUGAUACAGCCAUACCGCGUGGGUGAAGAAGGCCUUCGGGUUGUAAAGCCCUUUUGUUGGGAAAGAAAAGCAGCAGGUUAAUACCCCGCUGUUCUGACGGUACCCAAAGAAUAAGCACCGGCUAACUUCGUG